AGAGUUUGAUCCUGGCUCAGAACGAACGCUGGCGGCAGGCUUAACACAUGCAAGUCGAGCGCACUCUUCGGAGUGAGCGGCGGACGGGUUAGUAACGCGUGGGAACGUGCCCUUCUCUAAGGAAUAGCCACUGGAAACGGUGAGUAAUACCUUAUACGCCCUUCGGGGGAAAGAUUUAUCGGAGAAGGAUCGGCCCGCGUUAGAUUAGAUAGUUGGUGGGGUAAUGGCCUACCAAGUCUACGAUCUAUAGCUGGUUUUAGAGGAUGAUCAGCAACACUGGGACUGAGACACGGCCCAGACUCCUACGGGAGGCAGCAGUGGGGAAUCUUGGACAAUGGGCGCAAGCCUGAUCCAGCCAUGCCGCGUGAGUGAUGAAGGCCUUAGGGUCGUAAAGCUCUUUCGCCAGAGAUGAUAAUGACAGUAUCUGGUAAAGAAACCCCGGCA
rnacentral:rRNA from 1 species